UGCGUAGGCGGAUACGAAAGUCAGGUGUGAAAUCCCAGGGCUCAACCCUGGAACUGCACUUGAAACUCCGUAUCUAGAAUCCGGGAGGGGUUAGUGGAAUUCCUAGUGUAGAGGUGAAAUUCGCAGAUAUUAGGAGGAACACCAGUGGCGAAGGCGACUGACUGGACCGGUAUUGACGCUGAGGUACGAAAGCGUGGGGAGCAAACA
rnacentral:rRNA from 1 species